AUUUAUAAUUGACGAAAGCUUAGCUUAAUAUGUAAAUAACGACGAAAAAUUACCUCAACAAAAUGUUAGAAUUAAGAUUGUCAACUGUGAUAGAUCGAUAUGCUGUGUUUUUAGCAACCUUCUAUCAACAAACGAAAGU